rnacentral:rRNA from 1 species
CCUACGGGGGGCAGCAGUGAGGAAUAUUGAUCAAUGGGCUUACGCCUGAACCAGCCAAGUCGCGUGAGGGAAGACUGCCCUAUGGGUUGUAAACCUCUUUUGUCAGGGAGCAAUUGGCGCUACGUGUAGCGUUAUCGAGAGUACCUGAAGAAAAAGCAUCGGCUAACUCCGUGCCAGCAGCCGCGGUAAUACGGAGGAUGCGAGCGUUAUCCGGAUUUAUUGGGUUUAAAGGGUGCGCAGGCGGAUUUUUAAGUCAGCGGUCAAAUCGUGGGGCUCAACCCCAUCCAGCCGUUGAAACUGGGGAU